UACAGAGGGUGCAAGCGUUGCUCGGAAUUAUUGGGCGUAAGGGGUAGGUAGGUGGUCUUAUUUGUCUGGGGUGAAAGCCUUGAGCUUAACUCAAGAAGUGCCCCAGAAACGGUAAGACUAGAGUCUUGGAGAGGGUUGCGGAAUUCCCGGUGUAGCGGUGAAAUGCGUAGAGAUCGGGAGGAACACCAGAGGCGAAGGCGGCAACCUGGACAAGUACUGACACUCAACUACGAAAGCGUGGGGAGCAAACAGG
rnacentral:rRNA from 1 species